CCUGGAGAGGCUGCAACACUUCCUCAAAUGAGCUGAAACAUGUGUUGAAACUCUGCUCACAACGACUCCACCAAAGGGGUGACCAAGGACUGAAGGUUCAAAGGUGUCUGAGGCAAGAGAGGCAUAAUAAUAGCUACGACAAACAUGAUCGCCGUCCUUACCAUGCAAAUCGAUGGGUUGAGAAGUUGACGGAGGAUUCCGAUGUCCACGGGAGCAGCAGGCUCCCCACCGGCAACGGUGGCGGGAUCCACGGGCAGACUCCUCGGGAGCAUUGCCGGUGGGAUCCACGGGCAUACUCCUCAGGAGCAGCAGGCACCCCAGUGGCGGCGGCACCGGGCUACCGAGCGACGGCGGGCUCUCCGCGCUUCCUCUGCUGGAUCUCCCGCAACAGUG
rnacentral:misc_RNA from 1 species